ensembl:lncRNA
CAGUGUUUUUAGUUCCCUUUUUCCUCUGUAAAAGUUUUUUUUAAAAAAAAUCAGGUCCAAUUUUCAGAAAUUUCACCCGCUUCAGAGAGGUAUUUUUGUGUCUCACCAUUCAGAGUUCUUGCAGAAAAUUUCUUUACGUAGCAUAGCAAUUGAAAUAAUCUUAUUUUAUCUGAAAAUAUUUAGAGGUCGUCUAAAAAUUUCUUUGGAGCUUCAUCCCAGGCAAAAUAAGUUGUUUGCUUAUGAAAUUCCAUUGUGAAAGAAUUUAGCAUCUGGUCCUACAAAAGUACAUGAUUUUUUCUUUGUGACCUCUUGCAAUGAAGAGAAGAAAAAUGAGAAGGGAUGUGCAGUACUAGAUCCCUUGCUUUUUAUAUAUAUAUAUCCUCCUCUAUGGCAUUUGAAUGAUAAAAGACCAAUUUCUGCCCUUGCCUAACCUCCAGCAGCCCCACUGAUUUCCAAAUUGUAAUGAAUGACUUUACAGACUCGAGCCCUUUCAUUCUUUCUCUUGCAGAUUGAGUGGCUCAACUCGGACAAUGGGCUCCUGCCUACAUAAGUGCACAGCUGGGAUAAAACCACUGAUUCUGGGAGACAUGCUCCAUCGUGAGUGAGAAACGAAUCUGGUCUGUGAUUUACAAAUUUUAAUGGAGCAUGAGCGGGGGAAGAGCAUGCAAAUCUUUGCGUUCUACAUCAUCAUAGUACUCCACCAGCGGAGUGCUUCUGAGCAUGCUACAAAAUGUGCGUACUGAUAUAAGGAGAAUCAUAGUAAGCAUCAUGAAUGAAUCUUCACUUCAAGUCAUUUCUCACUCGAACUUUAUGCUGCAUAGCAUGUACCAAAUACAGCCUUCAGCAUUAUGGUGUUGGUCUAGGAAAAGAUAUUAUGCAGAGAUGUACAUAAUGCCUAUGAACUAUGGCUGAUGACAGAGCUACAAAAGAUAUUAGAGCCUAGUAGGGUUCUAAUAGUUUAAGAAAGCAUUUUCUCCAUUAAUAGUACUGUAAUUAACAGCUGAAAUAAACAAUAUGGGUAAGACCAAUAUUAAUAAAGUAUUUCAAAGUUUUCCAUAGUAGUAAAACAAUAAAAAAGAACAGAUCUGGAAGGUGGAGACCUUGUUUAAAACUCAGAGCAGAUGUCACGGCCAGACAAAACCUCUGCUCUCCCAGGGAAAGCAACUGAUGUGCUGCAAAACUGCCAACUACAACUACAAGAGCUGGGAAAAAAAAAAAAAAAAAAAAAAAAAAAGACCUGUUUCUGCAGGUUUUAAGGAAUCAUCUUGACCUUUGUGUCUUGAGAACAUCGCUGGUUGUGACUGAUUCACUCUGAGAUAGUCCCCGUGUGUCAGACAGACACAAUGCAGCUGUUCUCCUUCAAGUCUGUGCACCGAAUAAGUGAAAUGCUGAUGAGGACUUUGGGUAAAAUGAGGUAUUGUUGCAGUAAAGUUUGUUUCUGAGUGUGAUACAGCUGGAUUUUGUAACACUCUUCAGUUUUACUCAGUCAGAUUUUCCCCUCCUACUCAUACAAGGAAAUCUCCCUUUGUUCCCAAAGGUUGUUCCUCCCAAAAAGUAUACAGCCAUCUGCACUUUACCCUUGUGUUUCAGUUCUCCAC